rnacentral:lncRNA from 1 species
ACAGAGAACACACCAAGUCUUGUAUAUUCAAAAUAUAUAAUGCAUCAAACAAAACUUAUAUAAAGCAAGACAUGUAUUAAAGAACAAAGAUUCAGUACAAACUUUUCAAUAAACCAGAGAGUAAUAGUAACUGAGACUGCAGAAACAGAGUAUAGACUAACUUUAGUUUUAGAAACAAAAACAUUGUUUCUUCUUUCUAUAAGAAUGUCAGCAUUUGUUGUGUAUAGGAUCAGAUCCUCUUCCAAUCUUUCUUUUUACAGAUUGAUUAGGAUCAUGCAUCACAGAGGGCGCCAAGUCUCCAUUUGUAUUUAAAUUUCCUUCCUUCGAUGAUGAUGAUGACUCUUCAAGAACACGGAAGGGAUGAACAGUUAGAAGCUGCAGCCUCAUAUCUCUCUCCCAUCUUAGACUUGAGACUUUAUCCGUUUGAAGAAGUACAAAAAAUGCGAUGCCAAGAAGAAGAAACAUAUCUCGACGAACCAAAACACCCAUUUUGAACAACGUUUGUAGAUAUUAGCUACUAGCUAGCUUGUGAAGUUAAAUAUAAAUACUUGAGAGAUUAAAUAAAUGGUAAAAGGUUAAGAGAAAAAGACUAGGAUAGCACUAAACCAAGUUUAUGUUCCCAAAAUAGCACUCAAGGUUCAAAGUUACAAAAAUAGGUUUCAUUAAAGAGGUAAAUAUACACUUAUACCCCUUGGAUUAAUUAAUCCAAACCUUAGGGUUUAGAGUUAAGGGGUGGGGUUUUGGAAUUAGGGUUUAAAAUUUUAUAAAAAAAAAUAUAAAAUAAAAAAUAAAAAUUUUAAAAACAGUUUUAAAAAGUAUUUUUAAAUUAUAAAAAGAAAAUUAAAAAAAAAAAAUCGAAAAAAAAAUUAUAAAAAUUUCGAAUCUGAAAACAUAUAAUCUGAAACUAUAAAAAAAAAAUCUUUUUUUAAUUUUAUUUUAUUUAUUUUUAUUUAUUUUUGUUUGUUUAUUUAAUUUUAAACCAAGGGUAUUAGGGAUAUUUUACCCUUUAAUGAAUGUCAUUUUUGUGACUUUCUCCUUCUAGUGCUAUUUUUGACACAUAAACUUCAAAAAGUGCUAUUAUUGACAAUUGCCCAAAGGUUAAUGAAGAAGGGAGAAAUUUGUCUCUCCUUCUCUCUCUUUGGAAUGGAGAGAAGGUUGGUAAGAAGGAAGCAUAUAUAAAGGCUGGUUUUAGAAGAUCUCUCUUCUGACAAGUUUGAACCAAAAAAGCUUUACAUUUGGAACUCUGUUAUUGGGAAGCUACGCAUAUCUCUUUGUUUUUUUUUUCCACCUCCAUACUUUUUAUAUUUUAAACAUACAACACUCAUAUACAUUCACAUAUAAUAACAUUUCUGUUUAUUUGGAUAAGGUGAAUGGUGUGAUACACUAUAGAUUACUAAUAUAGUUG